UGUGUAGGCGGCUGGGCAAGUCAAAGAUGAAAUCCCGAGGCUCAACUUCGGAACUGUCUUUGAAACUGCCUAGCUUGAGGAUAGUUGAUGAAAAGGGAAUUCCCGGUGGAGCGGUGAAAUGCGUAGAUAUCGGGAGGAACACCUGAGGCGAAGGCGCUUUUCAAAACUACUCCUGACGCUGAGACACGAAAGCUAGGGGAGCAAACGGGAUUAGAUACCCCGGUAGUCCUAGCCGUAAACGAUGGACGCUAGAUAUUCCUGCGCUUAUGUGGGAGUGUCGAAGCUAACGCGUUAAGCGUCCCGCCUGGGGAGUACGGUCGCAAGGCUGAA
rnacentral:rRNA from 1 species